rnacentral:rRNA from 1 species
ACUUUCAACAACGGAUCUCUUGGUUCUCGCAUCGAUGAAGAACGCAGCGAAAAUGCGAUAAGUAGUGUGAAUUGCAGAAUUCAGUGAAUCAUCGAAUCUUUGAACGCACAUUGCGCCUCCUGGUACUCCGGGAGGCAUGCCUGUCCGAGCGUCAUU